rnacentral:rRNA from 1 species
CCUUUACUCGGAUAACCGUAGUAAUUCUAGAGCUAAUACAUGCGUAAAUCCCCCCUUCUGGAAGGGACGUUUUUAUUAWAUCAAAGGCWBCCGGGSUUGCCCGACUCUUGGCGAAUCAUGAUAACUUCACCAAUCGCACUGCUUUUUGCUGGCCAUGUUUCAUUCWAAUUUCUGCCCUAUCAACUUUCGAUGGGAAGAUAGUGGCCUACCAUGCUGGUAACAGGUGACGGACGAUUAUGGUUCGAUUCCVGAGAGGGAGCCUGAGAAACAGCUACCMCAUCCAAGGAAGGCAGCAUGCGCGCAAAUUACCCAAUCCCAACRCGGGGAGGKAGUGACAAUAAAUAACMAUACCGGKUAUUUUUGUCUGGUWRUUGGAAUGASUACAAUCUAAAUCCCUUAACGAGUAUCCAUUGGAGGGCAAGUCUGGU